rnacentral:rRNA from 1 species
GAUGAACGCUGGCGGCGUGCCUAAUACAUGCAAGUCGAGCGAACGGACGAGAAGCUUGCUUUUCUGAUGUUAGCGGCGGACGGGUGAGUAACACGUGGAUAACCUACCUAUAAGACUGGGAUAACUUCGGGAAACCGCAGCCAAUACCGGAUAAUAUUUUGAACCGCAUGGUUCAAAAGUGGAAGACUGUCUUGCUGCCACUUAUAGAUUGAUCCGCGCUGCAUUAGCUAGUUGGUAAGCUAACGGCUUACCAAGGCAACGAUGCAUAGCCGACCUGUGAGGGUGAUCGGCCACACUGGAACUGAGACACGGUCCAGACUCCUACGGGAGGCAGCAGUAGGGAAUCUUCCGCAAUGGGCGAAAGCCUGACGGAGCAACGCCGCGUGAGUGAUGAAGGUCUUCGGAUCGUAAAACUCUGUUAUUAGGGAAGAACAUAUGUGUAAGUAACUGUGCACAUCUUGACGGUACCUAAUCAGAAAGCCACGGCUAACUACGUG